rnacentral:rRNA from 1 species
UACGGGGGGGGCAAGCGUUGUUCGGAAUUACUGGGCGUAAAGGGCUCGUAGGCGGCCAACUAAGUCAGACGUGAAAUCCCUCGGCUUAACCGGGGAACUGCAUCUGAUACUGGAUGGCUUGAGAUUGGGAGAGGGAUGCGGAAUUCCAGGUGUAGCGGUGAAAUGCGUAGAUAUCAGGAGGAACACCGGUGGCGAAGGCGGGUCUCUGGGCCGAUACUGACGCUGAGGAGCGAAAGCGUGGGGAGCGAUCCGG